rnacentral:rRNA from 1 species
UACGUAGGGCGCAAGCGUUGUCCGGAAUUAUUGGGCGUAAAGAGCUCGUAGGCGGUUUGUCGCGUCUGCUGUGAAAACCUCAGGCUCAACCUGGGGCUUGCAGUGGGUACGGGCAGACUAGAGUGCGGUAGGGGUGACUGGAAUUCCUGGUGUAGCGGUGAAAUGCGCAGAUAUGUGGAGGAACACCGAUGGCGAAGGCAGCCCCCUGGGUCGACACUGA